rnacentral:misc_RNA from 1 species
GUCACGCCCGAAGUCGUUACUCCAACUGUUCGCAGAGGGGGACGCCGAAGGCAGGGCUGAUGACUGGGGUGAAGUCGUUACAAGGUAGCCGUACCGGAAGGUGUGGCUGGAUCACCUCCUUUUAGGGAGACCUCCCACUCUGACCUGAAAGCAAAGAGUAAAUAGGGACAGAGCUGGUCAACCCGAGGUCGGUCAGGGAAUUAGCGCAGGCUUUCAAACUAAUCUAGGUUUGGUUCAUGGGCUAUUAGCUCAGGUGGUUAG